UACAGAGGGGGCAAGCGUUGUUCGGAAUUACUGGGCGUAAAGGGCGCGUAGGCGGCCUUCUAAGUCGAACGUGAAAUCCCUGGGCUCAACCCAGGAACUGCGUCCGAUACUGGAAGGCUUGAAUCCGGGAGAGGGAUGCGGAAUUCCUGGUGUAGCGGUGAAAUGCGCAGAUAUCAGGAGGAACACCGAUGGCGAAGGCAGGUCUCUGGGCAUUAACUGACGCUGAGGAGCGAAAGCAUGGGAGCGAACAGG
rnacentral:rRNA from 1 species